rnacentral:lncRNA from 1 species
GACAGAGCCUCUUAGAAGACAGUUCCAGCCAAGGCCCAGGAUUUGAAAACCGCAGGAGGGUGGAGGAAAUUGAGGCAGCAAAGACAGAGACAAGUGACAAUGGGAUGAAAUCUCAAAGUGGCACAAGGAGCAUUCCACUCGAAUUAUGUAAGGAACUCUUUGCUGGUGUUGGAACAUUUUCAAACAUUCCGCAGAGAAAGAACCAAAGACAAAAUGAACGCAGAACAACGAUCCAUGGGUGGAAGUUACAGGGAGUGAAUUUCAGCUCACUAGAAGGAAAAGCUUUCAAAGUAAAAGCUGACAAUAGAAUGGCUGUUCUCAUGAAGCAGUGGGCUCCUUCACAUCUGAUAUAUUCCAGCAGGAUGAAAAAAGACAACAAUAGCACCUAAGAAGAUUCGAAAAGGGAACAAUGUUGCAGCAUCUUGUGCCAAUUAAAGAAAGACACAAGAAACGUGCCUGGCAGCAGUGGCAAGGUCAAAGGUGGCUAGGAAGGAGAGAAGACCGAGAGGCAAAUGCCUGUGUCAGCUAAGCUCGGACAAGUAACCUAACUUCCCUGGAGCCUCGUUUUCCUCGUGUGUCAAGUGGGAAGAAUUACGUCCGUCUCAAAGGUCACAGUGAAACUAACAGCUGGCACGUUCAGGGCACCUAGUUUUUGGUCGGCAUAUGGCGGUUGCUUAGCAAAGGGCAGUAGGGAGAUGAUGAAUCAGGUUGUUGGGUGAGCGUCCUUUUCCUGGCUUCACCUCUCCCGAUGGGAAGAUUGCACCUAUUAUCAACCUUCUGUUGGCCUGGGUGCCCUCAACUUCUCCAGGAGCCAACACUCCUCUGAAUAUCUGACACCUAAGCUCAUACUGUCUGGCACCCCAGUCCAAAUUGUUUACUCCCCCUGAAAAGGCUGCUGUCAUGUUCCUUCAUAUGCUGUUGGUACCCAACCCCUCUGCUGGAGCCCAGCCUUAUGGGCGCAUCCAUCCUUGGUUCCUGCCCAUCAGCCUUUCUCUGAAGGAUGCAGAGAGAACAGGGACUCAUGCAGUCUUACUCCUCCGCCUGUGAUUCCAGCGUACCCCAACCGAAGCGUAACUGGGCUUGCUGGUCCUCGUCCAUGGCAGACCACAAUGUGCCUGACCGGGACAAGUGGAGGACCACACACAGUAGAAGAGAGUCUGUUUUCCCGUGGACGAGUCCUCCUACUCUGAGAACACAACACGGUGGCCCUGAGGGAGACAGGAGUGGGUGAGCUCCUCUUAACAGCAAAUGUACUGCAAGUGGGUAGAAAUCAUUAAAUAUGAAAAUGAUAAGAACAUGACAACGUGCUUCGGAAGGAGCACACUCAACUCAUCCGCGGCUAUUCUGCUGCUGCGGUGGCCGGGCCACGCUCCCAGGGACGCUCCGUCAGACACCGAAGAGGACGAUGCUGAGAAGAAAGCUGAGUCACCGCGGGCAG